rnacentral:rRNA from 1 species
GUGGGGAAUAUUGGACAAUGGGGGGAACCCUGAUCCAGCCAUGCCGCGUGUGUGAAGAAGGCCUUUUGGUUGUAAAGCACUUUAAGCGAGGAGGAGGCUACCGAGAUUAAUACUCUUGGAUAGUGGACGUUACUCGCAGAUUAAGCACCGGCUAACUCUGUGCCAGCAGCCGCGGUAAUACAGAGGGUGCAAGCGUUAAUCGGAUUUACUGGGCGUAAAGCGCGCGUAGGUGGCCAAUUAAGUCAAAUGUGAAAUCCCCGAGCUUAACUUGGGAAUUGCAUUCGAUACUGGUUGGCUAGAGUAUGGGAGAGGAUGGUAGAAUUCCAGGUGUAGCGGUGAAAUGCGUAGAGAUCUGGAGGAAUACCGAUGGCGAAGGCAGCCAUCUGGCCUAAUACUGACACUGAGGUGCGAAAGCGUGGGGAGCAAACAGGAUUAGAUACCCGGUAGUCC